GGUAAAAUGGCUGAAGUUUUAGGCAAUAAAUUGUAAAUUUAUUAAUGAAUUUGAUUCUUUUAUCA
rnacentral:tRNA from 1 species